UUCGUAGGUGGCCUGCUAAGUCAGACGUGAAAUCCCUCAGCUCAACUGGGGAACUGCGUCUGAGACUGGUGGGCUUGAGUGCAGGAGAGGAACGCGGAAUUCCAGGUGUAGCGGUGAAAUGCGUAGAUAUCUGGAGGAACACCGGUGGCGAAGGCGGCGUUCUGGACUGUUACUGACACUGAGGAACGAAAGCCAGGGGAGCAAACG
rnacentral:rRNA from 1 species